UCGCCCCGGCGGGCGGCAGUCCCGCCUCUUGGCUCGCGGCGAAGCGCGGCCUGGGGCCUGUAUGCCCGGGAGGCGCCCGGGGAGGGCUUUUCGGUAGCCGUUUAGCGCUCACGACGGGUGAACCGAGGCCGUGUCUCGCCCUGGAUCCGCCGCAGCGCGGCUGGCGGCUCGGGGCCUCGGAUCGGGAGACGUUCCGCGGGGCUCGGCAGGCGGCGGGUGCCGGCGUCCUGGGGUGCCGUGUGGCGCUGCCUUCCGCCCGGCAAGCCGGCAGCCCUGCAAAUGAGACACCCGGGGACGAGAAAAAACGAGAGCUCUCGGGACCUUACGGCAGCCUAGUUCGCAGUCAGAAACCUCUCCGGGUUAAAAACUGCUGACUGACUUUAAUUGGCCUUUCGUGUUUGCCGGAGAAGGCGCGAGAGCGAUUUUUGCAGCGCUGUUACUCGCCAAGCUGUUUCCCAGUACACUGCAGCGUCCCUCAUGAAGCACGCUGCUGUAGAAUUACCUAGAGGCUGUUCAUGAAUGUCAAACUUGGUCUGGCUUCAAUAUCCAGUUUUGAAAUACUUUUGCUCUCAAGAAAUCACCGGUGUUUUUUAUACACGGUGAGCUCUUCCUAAAUAACGAAUGAGAGAAUGAACUCCGGAAUAGAAGAGUUGCUCAACAGGACGGCUAUGUUAAAGGCUCUAGUCACGCAUUCAGCAUUUCCGGAAGAACAUUUAUUUUUAGAGAAUAUUUUUUUAAUCGCGUAGUAUUCUAAACUGGUGCUUUAAACUUCGUUUUAAAAACACUUCUGAAACUUUGUACUAGAAAUAGACUUCCUACCAAGAAGCAUCUUUGAAAAAAAUAGCAUAUGAUCACAUACCUAAGGUGGUUACAAUAAUGUUGAAAUACAAAUAAACGCUUUCCUGGUUUCUUAGCA